rnacentral:rRNA from 1 species
CUAGUAACUGCGAGUGAAGAGGGAAGAGCUCAAAUUUGAAAUCUGGCAGUGUUUUGCUGUCCGAGUUGUAAUCUAGAGAAGUGCUGCCCGUGCUGGACCAUGUACAAGUCUCCUGGAAUGGAGCGUCACAGAGGGUGAGAAUCCCGUCUUUGACAUGGACUGCCAGUGCAUUUGUGGUGUGCUCUCAAAGAGUCGAGUUGUUUGGGAAUGCAGCUCUAAAUGGGUGGUAAACUCCAUCUAAAGCUAAAUAUUGGCGAGAGACCGAUAGCGAACAAGUACCGUGAGGGAAAGAUGAAAAGAACUUUGGAAAGAGAGUUAAACAGUAUGUGAAAUUGUUGAAAGGGAAACGCUUAAAGUCAGUCGUGUCGGCCAGGGAUCAACUCAGUAUUAUCUGCUGGGUGUACUUCCUGAUCUGAUGGGCCAACAUCAGUUUUGACUGCUGGAAAAGGAUAGAGGGAAUGUGGCACCUUUGGGUGUGUUAUAGCUCUCUGUCGGAUGCAGUGGUUGGGACUGAGGAAAGCAGCAUGCCGCAAGGCCGGGUCGUUUCGACCACGUUCAUGCUGAGGAUGUUGGCAUAAUGGCUUUAAUCGACCCGUCUUGAAACACGGACCAAGGAGUCUAGCAUGCCUGCGAGUGUUUGGGUGGCAAACCCGAGUGCGGAAUGAAAGUGAAAGGUUGAGAUCCCUGUCAUGGGGAGCAUCGAUGCCCGGACCUGAGCUCUUGCAAAGGAUCUGCGGUAGAGCAUGUAUGUU